UGGUCCUUAUUGAGCAGGAAAUGUCUUAAUAAGAGUUUAUCCAAAGAAGUCCUUCUUGAUACAGAAACUGAGUUCCACAUCCUGGGAUUUCCUUUAUAACAAAUGGAGUCCCCUAGAACAGUAUGAUGACCCCCCCACCCAGCUGCUCCAGGACAGACUCCUUGAACCCACAGUGCCAACUCUAGAAAAAGAGAAGUCAACUGUAGAACUGGCCUCAACUGCAAGAGGAUUCUAAUGGCAAAAGGACAUGCCUCUGAUGCUGCCAUGUGAUAAGCAACUUUCCUCCACCAUGCCCUUCUACCAAGAUGUUUUUGCUUUGGAGCCUGCCAAUCAUGGACUGAACCUCUGAAACUGUGAGCCAAAAUAAAUCUUUCCUCCUCUACAUUAUUCUUGGUUCUAUUCAUCUGGAGGCUGCUCUAAUCCAAGAAAUCUUCACUCACAUGCCUGUGAUCUUGGAGGGAUGAUUGGAAAAUGGUGCUCUACCCUAGAUGGACUCAGGGUCUUUCUUCAUGGUCACUUCAAAAAGAAUGAGGAAACUGAGACUUUCAUGGUCAAGUUACUCAAGUUCUAGUAAAUGGCAAUGGAUGGAUGGAUCCCAGGCUUAUCUGUUUCAAAAGCUGCAUUUCAGAUUUUGGAGUCAAAAUAAAGACGAAGGAAGGGAAGGUGGCCAGACCAUUUGCAAAGUGGUGCCCAAAGCUAGGGGCCAUGACGCUCCAACAGCCAGAGCAACUAGUUGCAGCUCUGCUCUUCAACCAGCCCAUGAGGCGAUGGGCCUCUGGGGUCACUUGGACUGGUGGCCUACCAGGAGUUAAGAGACAUCAAUAUCUGGCUUUGAGUGGCACAAAGGGAUAAAGGAAUGUGGAUUCAGAGCUUGCUGGGAUGCUUGGCAAUUCUAAUUCCACCCCAGGCUGCAAAUGGACACAAAACUGUUGUGACUGUUGAAGAAGAGAGAAGGCUGGUGAAGGUCUCUUUAGUAAAGAAUCUUUUUCCUGAAAUUGCUCCAGGCAACACAGAAGCGGGAUUCAGCAGCGCCCAGGCCCGGGAAUGCAGGCUUUAGCAAGGCUCAUGUGAGGAUAGACUGCCAUCUCGUGGUCAUUUUGGUUUUCUACACCCCAGCCAACAGCUAGGCUGCAGAAAGUCAGAACCUGGGUUGAAAAUGAUGCUGGGCGCUUCUACUGCACUGCUUGGAUGCCUUUAAAAAUCACCCAGGAAAUAGAUGAGUACCCUCAAUCCAAGGAUAUCUUUGAGAUUCAUCCAUCUCAGGUUGCUGCUUCAGGAAGGAGCUGCCACUGCCUGGACAAAGAGUCAUUGUGAAAUGAUGUAGACAGGAACAGGAAGUACUCAGAAAAUGGAGGUACUCAGGUACAGGAAGUGCUCAGAAAGAGGAAGUACCAGGAGCAGGAAGGGACAGAGACCUUUUCUCUCCUUCAGCCUUGGUUUCCCUCUAUUAACCCCUGUUGACUGAUCCCAGUGGAAAGCAGCUUGACUGAACCAGAAACUAAAGGCAGAAUCUCAACGCUAGCAUCACAAACUGAGAAUAGAACAAUGGGUUUAGAACCUACAAGAGCUUAAUAACUGCAUUGUUCUUUGGAUAUAUUUGAAUGACUGCAUAACUUUGCAUUCAAUAGAAGAACAAGCUUUUACCUUCUUUCAGAAUUUAUUACCAGUCUCUAAUUGCUCUUUCAUUGGGUAAUUCUUAUUGAUGCCAGACCCACCUACCUUCCCUCCCUCCCUCUUUCUUUCUCUUCCCCUCUCUGUUUCCUCCCUCCCUUCCUCUCACUUUCUCUCUCUCUCUCUCUCUCUCUCUCUCUCUCUCUCUCUCUCUCUCCUGUUCCUUCCUUUACUUUCUUUAGUUCUUUCCUCUUUGUGGAUCAUUUCUAACUACUAAAAUAAUUAGGCCUCAAGAAACCUCUGGGACAACCUGGCAUUGUCAAGUGUUUCUACCACCUCAAUCUCUACUCCUUUCUGAACUUCCCUGUGCCCUUUUGGGGGUAUUGCAAGUUUCAGGGACAGUGACAUUACAUGUUUAAUGGUACUCCUUAACACAUUGCAUCCCAGACCAAGAUUCAGAAGCUCAGACUAUAUCGUUGGGUAAAGCAUAUGAAUUAUUUCAGUCUCAGUUUUCCUAAAAUGGGAAUGAGAGAAUAUGGUCGUCACCCAUCUCAUGUAAGUAGUAUUAAGAUACAAAUGAGACACAAGACAGGUAAGUGAUUUAAAAGCUUUUGGAUAUUUCUAGGAAAAGUUUGCUGACAGAACUAAUUUCUUCUGAAACUCCAUCAGAAAAAACAAUGCUCUCAGGGAGUCUUUAGAGGGGCUGUAAAUUUGUCUGUUUUCUCCCCAUGACUGUGCCACUCACAGAGAAAAUAGUGGGACAGGCAACUCCAACGGCCCAGGAGUUGAGCAGUGCACAUCUUGCACAGCCAGAUAUAAUAGACCUUGUACCUCUGAAGAUAGGGGUCUGAAAUCAAUUUCAUUGAGCUAGAUUCAAGGAAUUGGAAGGGCGUGUUCCUUCUGGAGGGUCUAAGGAAUAAGUUCCUUUGCCUUUUUUGGCUUCUAGAGGUGCAUGUAUUUCUGGGUUUGUAAUCCUUUCCUCUUUUUGUCAAAGGUCCUCAUUCCAAUUUCUGUUUCUGGUGUCAUACGGUCUUCUUUCUCUUUUGACCUUCUUGUCUCCCUCUUAUAAGACACUGAUGAUUACAUUUAAGCCUUUUCCUGGAUAAUCCAGGCUAAUCUCAUCUCAAGAUCCUUAACUUAAUCUGAAAAGUUCCUUUUGUUACAUACUGUUCUGGAGAUUAAGGAACGGAUAUCUCUGGGGGGGCCAUUAUUCAGUCUAUCACACAUCAGGUUACAACAUGAUGGGUAGAAAUGGGCCUAUGAGGAGUCACAUCAUCACUGGGGUCAAAAAAAGUAGAUGGAUAGAUGGUGGAUAGAUGGGUAGGUAGAUAGAUAAUAGAGAAUAUAAACCCAGAUUUAGAAAGGACUUGAACUUUGCAAUGUCAACCAGAAGGUAAUGGAGCCUGUGUACAAACUAGUGAAGGAAAAUGAUCUCCAGCUAGAAUCCGACUGUGAGCUAUACUACUGCCAAUCAGGUGUGACAGCAGAUGAAAGACAUCAGCAUGUAAACAAAGUCCCCAAAGCUACUUUUGUGUUCCAUUAAAAUCAGGGAGUGAACCAAGAAAAAGGAGGAUAGGAGGUGUGGGAAUUAGGAGAUCAUAUAGGAGGUCGCUGAGUGACAGCAGCCCUGGGAAAAGGGCUAUCACGUCUGGCUAUGCAGGACGUGCGCUGCUCAGGAAGUGCCAUUAUCAUUAUUUUCUCUGUAAGUGGCACAGACAUAGAAGGAAAUCAAACCAAUUCAGAGCCCCUCUGAUGGUUCCCUAAGAGCUGUCCUUAGGAAACUGAAAUCAAGGGAAGGGAUUUAGCCAGUGGAUAGAAUUUGUGAGUGAAUUAAUGAUAAGUACACAGAAAUCUAAGGAAAUCAAAAGGAAAUACUAACUUUAGGAUGCUAACAACUAUGAAAAUCAAACCAUAAUAUCUCAGUUCUGAGGAGUAUUUAUGAAGUCACAAUAAUUUAAGCAGUAAUCAUCAAUCUACUGUAAAUUUUGAAAUACUUACCUUGUGGGGUCAGGGUUGUGGGAAAGUGGUGUGCCUGUGUGUAGAGAUGUGAGGUGAAAAAUCAAGAAGUAGGAAUACAAAAUUAUUAUCUAAGGGAAGACAGUAAAUGCCCAAAUUUUUAGUGAGUAUCUGGGAAGGGGUGGAGAAGUUGGGGCCAUUAUAUUUUAUAACUAGUCUUGAAGUGUUAGACUAUUUAAAAAUUUUUUUUUAUUUUUACAGACUGCAUUUUGAUUCAUUGUUCACAAAGGGGUGCAUCAUUUUGUUUCUAUGCUAGUGCAUUAUAGUUAUACCUAGAAGCAUGGUUCAUUUUGACGUGUAGUCAUACAUACAUGGAAUAUAAUUUUCUCCAUUUCAGUCCCCUCUUCCCUCCUCCUGUUUCCCUUCCUCUACUCUACUGGUGUUCCUUCUAUUUAUUUAUUGUUUUUUAAAAAUUGGUGCUUUAUAUUCCCUGUGGUGUAUUCAUAUCUAUGCAUAACAUAAUGUGGUCAAUUUCAUUUGGCAGUUCCUUCCUUUUUCCCAUCCCUUCUCCCUCCCCUUCAAUCCUCUUCCUCUACUUCACUGAUCUCUCUUCUAUUUUCAGGAAUUCCCUCAGCCUUUCCCCACCCAUAUUUUGCUCAUUUUCUUUCUGAAAAUGAAAGGAAACAGUUGACCUGUUAGAUUCCUUAAACUGUAUGCAUUUGUAACAUUGCUCAAAAUAUAAACUGCUAAAAGUUUUAAAAUUCUCUUGACUCUGGACAAGCCAUUUAAUCUGUAAUUGUGUAGGUGUGUGUGUGUGUGAUGUCGACAGAGACAUGAGUUAAAGAGUGAAGAGUUAUAGAGGAAAAGCUACUGUUAAGUAUAUCAUUGGUAUUACUGUGAGCCCAAUGUUUAUUGCCAUGGUAUUCUAGACCUCUCUGCUGAUGGAUGUUUAAAGCUCACUAUGCACAGAAUUGUUGUUUGAAUCAGAGCAGCAAAACCGGGUCCUUCGUAUACACCAUUUAGCACCCUGCACAUAGAUGUUGGGUUUCUGUUGCUAAGACUGAAGUUUUAGAUUUAGACUAAUAUGAAAGUCUCCUGUGCACAGAGGAGUCAGAGACCAAAUAUUUGUGUAGAUGUUCCUCUGGAACCUGUCCCUCCAGCAUACAGACUAUUGUCCAAGCACUGGACACAGCACAGGUUCUGAAAAGUACUGGGGUUGAGAAUCAGACUCACAAGUGUUCAAAACUCUGCUGGGUCCUAGAUGUGAUCUUGGCAUAUUUCAGUCUUGACUGAACCUUAUAUUUCUUUUUUGAGCAUUAAAUGAAAUUGUGUGAGUACGCCAGCUUGAAUAGUGUUCCCCAAAAUUCACAUCUGCUUAGAACUUCAGAAUGUGACCUUCUUUAGGAAUAGAGUAGAUAUCAGAUGUAACAAGGCAGGAUGAAGUCAUACUGGAUCCUAAUACAAAGGGUCCUAAGUCCCAUAACCAGUGUCCUUGUAUGUACAGGAGACAGAGAUACAAAUCCACAGGAAAGGCAACCACGGAAGUAGAGGCAGAGAAUGAAGUGAUGUGUCCACAAGUCAAGAAGCAGGAGAGAGGCAGAAUUUCCAGAAGGGACCAACUCUGCCAACACCUUGAUUUUGGGCUUCUUACCUCCAGAACUGUGAGAAAAUAAAUUUCCAUUGUUCUCAGCCACCCAGGCCUGGGUAAUUUGUUAUGGCAGCCCUGAAGUAGCACAGCACAUAACAAGCCCAAAUGGGGUCAGGCCAGUGUAGAUAUGGGGUUGCUGUUUGCUCCCCUCUUAUUUCUAGGUUUGAUAGCCCUGAUAUUGCUCAUGAGCAGAAGUUAACAGCCAGGCAUCCUUGAUGGCCUUGUUAGUUAGCAUCUUUCACUAUAACAAAUACCAGAGUCAAUCAACUUAAAAUAAGAAAAAGUUUGUUUUGGCUCACAGUUUGGGAGAUUCCAGUUCAUGAACAGAUGGACACAUUGCUUUUUAGGGCUCUGGUCAGGAGGGCAGCAGCAUGCCAUGAUGGGAGAGCAUGGUGAAAUGAAAGAAAGGAAGGGGCUAGAGUCCAAUGGUCUUCUUCAAGGUCAUGGCCCCAGUGAUCAGAAGAUGUCCCACUAGGCCACACCUAUUAAAGUUUCUACCAUCUCUCAGUAGUGACACACUAUAGACCUUUGAGGACAUUUAGGAUUCAAACUAUAGUAAUGGCUUAUGGAAUCCUGUCCAUGCACCGUGGCUGAGGAAAAGGAAGGAGUUUUCUGGUCCUGGAGAUGAGGCAUAUGCUUGGCUGUUGGAGAAAGAUCAGAGAAUACUUGUGUGGAGGUGAUGAUGCCAAGUAUUCAACACAGCUUUGCGGAUGAACACUGACAAUCAGGAGGUCGUUAUUUCAUUUUGAAAACAGUUAGCCAUCAACGCAUCUCCUGAGGGCAGGAAAACUUGACCUGCCUCAGCCCAUUCCUGAUACUGAGGCCUGGAGUGGCAUAGAUGGCUCUGGAUGCUCUUUUAGAAAUGUGGUUUCCUGAAGACGUGUUGAGGAUCAUAUCUCUGGUUUUGAUGAGCCAUGGCUUGACAGGUUUGUCAUUGCCUAAUCAGAAUGUGGGGGUGCAAGAAUUGGAACAGGAAGGCCUGGCACUUACACAGAGCCAACCCCACAGACAUUCAAGGUGGGCUGCACUGCUCUUCCUUCUCCCAACAUCUGAGAAACCUGGUAAAUAUCUACCAUCAUCUGCAGGUGUGGUGGUGCACACCUGUGAUCCCAAGCAACUAGGGAGGCAGAGGCAGGUGGAUUGCACAUUCUAGGCUAGCCUGGACGAUUUAAUGAGACCCUGUCUUGAAACAAAAAUAAAAAGGGUUGGGAUGCAGUUCAGUGAUAAGAGUGCUUGUCUAGCUUGUACUAGGCGCUGGAUUAAAAAAUAAAUAAAAUCCUCCAUCAUUACCCCUCAUAUGUAUCUUUGUGUCUCUUUAACCACAUUAUUAUAUCUUCAGGGAGUGUAAGCAACAUGGGUUUAAAAAUUUGAAAAAGAAUAUACUGGAUUCAAGAAUAACCCAUGGCACCUCCUGUCUGUGUGAUUCUGAGCAAGUUACUUCAUCUCUCUGGUUCUUUAUUUCAUCAUCUGUAGAAUGGGGAUAUUAAUCACUUCCUAGGUACUGCAAAAACUGUUUGGUAAGGUACUAAGGGAAAGGAAAAAAAAUUAACAUUUAAAGAGCACCUCCCAAGUAUCAGGCACACAGUUGCUGCAGUGAUAAUUGCCUUCAGCAUACUUUCCUCUUCACAUUGAUGUGGGGGUUUAGACCUUAUGGCCUCUUCUAAGGAAAAAGAAGCUGAAGGUUGAAGGUAGACCAAUUGCCUAAAUCACUCAAGAGUAGAAAUAUAUAAAGAUGUUUCAAUGGCACAGUCACUGUUUAGAUGAUAGGGAUUUCUCAACAAACAAGGAAUUACAUUCCAUGGGUGAAAAAUGAAUCAAAAAGACAUUAAUGAAUAAAUCAGAUAAUUACAGUAAAAUCGCUAUGAAAAAGAAAUAACAGGUGAUGUAACAGAGAGAACCUAAAGGUGGGGUCAUUUCAAAUUGAGGGAUCAAAAAAGGCCUCUUUGAAGAACUGCAUUUGCACUGAGAUCUAAACAAGAAGCAUCCAAUCAUGUGAAGAUUGCAGGGAAAAGCAUCCAGGAGAUGGGAAGAGCAAGUACAAAAUCUCCAGUGGGAUCAUGAGGUUUGUGUAUAUCAGAGCAGAAAAACUACAGCAAAUGUAACAUUUUGAGCAAAAGUGUGUGUGUGUGUGUGUGUGUACGUGUGUGUGUGUGUGUGUGUGUGUGAGAGAGAGAGAGAGAGAGAGAGAGAGAGAGAGAGAGAGAGAGAGUGAGAGACAGAGAAAUGUUGUAGAAUGUUAUGAUGUUAUGAUUUAUGCAGCAAUGCUCAGAGGGAGGUAUUUGGAGAAGUGAUUGGAUGAUGAGGACUCUGACCUCAUCAGUGGAUUAAACCAUCAAGGGAUUCAUAGCUGAAUGGAUUAUUGUGAGGUAGUGGAAACUGUUAGGAAGCAGAACCUGGGUGGAGGGAGUGAGUCCCUGGGUGUGCACCCUUGGGGACUAUAUCUUAUCCAUUACCCACUUCCUUUCCUUUUGCUUCCACACAGCCAUGGUGUGACCAGCCACAUCCUCCUGCCAUGAUGUUUCUGUCUCAAAACAGACCUAAAAGCAAUAGAGUCAACUGACUAUGGACUGAAAUCUCUCAAACCGCCAGCCCAAAUCAAUC